rnacentral:lncRNA from 1 species
UGAGGAUCCCAUAAAACCCAGCCCUGCACAGCUGAGUAAUGAAUACACAUCAUGUUCUACACAAGAGACACUGUGGCACUUGUUCUAAACAGGAGCACCAAGUCUUCAAUCAGCCAGUCCCAGCUCUGCAACUCAUGGCCUGUGUGAUCCUGGUCUCAACAUGGAAGAAACUACAGGAGUUUGCUCCCGUGUUCCUUCUGAGCAACAGGCCUCUCCCUGAUGGGGGUGAGGGAAGGAUGGGACCUAUAAGAAGACGACUGCAAAUACUACCAGCUUGAGGGAACUCACCCAGGUUUGCGGGAGGUGGCUUUCAAGUGUCUUGGGCAGGCUUAUUAUGGGGCAGACAUU